UACAGAGGGUGCAAGCGUUAAUCGGAAUUACUGGGUGUAAAGCGCGCGUAGGUGGUUCGUUAAGUUGGAUGUGAAAGCCCCGGGCUCAACCUAGGAACUGCAUUCAAAACUGACGAGCUAGAGUAUGGUAGAGGGUGGUGGAAUUUCCUGUGUAGCGGUGAAAUGCGUAGAUAUAGGAAGGAACACCAGUGGCGAAGGCGACCACCUGGACUGAUACUGACACUGAGGUGCGAAAGCGUGGGGAGCAAACAGG
rnacentral:rRNA from 1 species